GCUUGGUGAACUUUACUGAAACUGUAUUUUCUCCUGCAUUCUGACUGACAGUAAAACAAUCUUGUCGAGAGAAAAACCUCUGCGUCCUUAAAUGUGGCAAAGAGACAAAUGGCAACGUGACCUGGAGCAGAGAUGUAGAUGGAAAAAGGGAGAAGAUUCUUACCAUCUACAAGGAAACGGUUAUCAAACACAUCACUGAUCCAGACAAACGUUACAGCUCAGGAGCAGGUCUGAUUCUGAGUAUAUUUAAAUUCUCACCUUCAGACGCUGGGCGAUAUUACUGCAAUGAGAACACUGUGGAGCUCAGUGUGAAAUCAAACUCUGAAAUAAUCUCUCAAGAGCGGACUAGGACUGGUGAGUUGUUGCUCGCAGCUGCAGUAGCCGGGGGCUGUGUGCUCGCUUUAGCAUCGGUUCUGGUUAUGUGGAAAUGUUUCUCCAAAAGGAAAGGUAGCGCAGCCAAGACAGAGGAAGAUUCAGCUGAAAAAGGUAAUCACUUAAAACAUUAUCUUCACACACAAUGUCAC